rnacentral:tRNA from 1 species
GGAGUUGUAGCUCACUAGUAGAGCACUUGCCUCACAUGCAUGAGGCCCUGGGUUUGAUCCUUAGCACCA